rnacentral:tRNA from 1 species
AACUAAGAAGUGGUAUCAUAUUAAGUUGCAAACUUAAAGAAGCAAGUGCCUUAGUUA